AACGAACGCUGGCGGCGCGCCUAAUACAUGCAAGUCGAACGAGAAUGUGUAGCAAUACACAUGUACAGUGGCGAACGGGUGAGGAAUACAUAGGUAACCUACCCUCGAGUGGGGAAUAACUAGCCGAAAGGUUAGCUAAUACCGCGUACGCUCCUUGGACUAAGGUUCAAGGGAAGGAAAGCGAUACCGUGGGUAUCGCGCUCUUGGAUGGGCUUAUGUCCUAUCAGCUUGUUGGUGAGGUAACGGCUCACCAAGGCUUCGACGGGUAGCUGGUCUGAGAGGACGAUCAGCCACACUGGCACUGCGACACGGGCCAGACUCCUACGGGAGGCAGCAGUAAGGAAUAUUGCGCAAUGGGCGACAGCCUGACGCAGCGACGCCGCGUGGGGGACGAAGGUCUUCGGAUUGUAAACCCCUUUCGGGAGGGAAGAUGGGGACGGGUAACCGUUCGGACGGUACCUCCAGAAGCAGCCACGGCUAACUUCGUGCCAGCAGACGCGGUAAUACGAAGGUGGCAAGCGUUGUUCGGAUUUACUGGGCGUACAGGGAAGCGUAAGCGGUUCGGUAAGCCCUCUGUGAAAUCUCCAGGCUUAACCUGGAACA
rnacentral:rRNA from 1 species